AAAUUGAAGAGUUUGAUCAUGGCUCAGAUUGAACGCUGGCGGCAGGCCUAACACAUGCAAGUCGAACGGUAACAGGAAGCAGCUUGCUGCUUUGCUGACGAGUGGCGGACGGGUGAGUAAUGUCUGGGAAACUGCCUGAUGGAGGGGGAUAACUACUGGAAACGGUAGCUAAUACCGCAUAACGUCGCAAGACCAAAGAGGGGGACCUUCGGGCCUCUUGCCAUCGGAUGUGCCCAGAUGGGAUUAGCUUGUUGGUGGGGUAACGGCUCACCAAGGCGACGAUCCCUAGCUGGUCUGAGAGGAUGACCAGCCACACUGGAACUGAGACACGGUCCAGACUCCUACGGGAGGCAGCAGUGGGGAAUAUUGCACAAUGGGCGCAAGCCUGAUGCAGCCAUGCCGCGUGUAUGAAGAAGGCCUUCGGGUUGUAAAGUACUUUCAGCGGGGAGGAAGGGAGUAAAGUUAAUACCUUUGCUCAUUGACGUUACCCGCAGAAGAAGCACCGGCUAACUCCGUGCCAGCAGCCGCGGUAAUACGGAGGGUGCAAGCGUUAAUCGGAAUUACUGGGCGUAAAGCGCACGCAGGCGGUUUGUUAAGUCAGAUGUGAAAUCCCCGGGCUCAACCUGGGAACUGCAUCUGAUACUGGCAAGCUUGAGUCUCGUAGAGGGGGGUAGAAUUCCAGGUGUAGCGGUGAAAUGCGUAGAGAUCUGGAGGAAUACCGGUGGCGAAGGCGGCCCCCUGGACGAAGACUGACGCUCAGGUGCGAAAGCGUGGGGAGCGAACAGGAUUAGAUACCCUGGUAGUCCACGCCGUAAACGAUGUCGACUUGGAGGUUGUGCCCUUGAGGCGUGGCUUCCGGAGCUAACGCGUUAAGUCGACCGCCUGGGGAGUACGGCCGCAAGGUUAAAACUCAAAUGAAUUGACGGGGGCCCGCACAAGCGGUGGAGCAUGUGGUUUAAUUCGAUGCAACGCGAAGAACCUUACCUGGUCUUGACAUCCACAGAACUUUCCAGAGAUGGAUUGGUGCCUUCGGGAACUGUGAGACAGGUGCUGCAUGGCUGUCGUCAGCUCGUGUUGUGAAAUGUUGGGUUAAGUCCCGCAACGAGCGCAACCCUUAUCCUUUGUUGCCAGCGGUCCGGCCGGGAACUCAAAGGAGACUGCCAGUGAUAAACUGGAGGAAGGUGGGGAUGACGUCAAGUCAUCAUGGCCCUUACGACCAGGGCUACACACGUGCUACAAUGGCGCAUACAAAGAGAAGCGACCUCGCGAGAGCAAGCGGACCUCAUAAAGUGCGUCGUAGUCCGGAUUGGAGUCUGCAACUCGACUCCAUGAAGUCGGAAUCGCUAGUAAUCGUGGAUCAGAAUGCCACGGUGAAUACGUUCCCGGGCCUUGUACACACCGCCCGUCACACCAUGGGAGUGGGUUGCAAAAGAAGUAGGUAGCUUAACCUUCGGGAGGGCGCUUACCACUUUGUGAUUCAUGACUGGGGUGAAGUCGUAACAAGGUAACCGUAGGGGAACCUGCGGUUGGAUCACCUCCUUA
rnacentral:rRNA from 1 species